rnacentral:rRNA from 1 species
UACGUAGGGUGCGAGCGUUAAUCGGAAUUACUGGGCGUAAAGCGUGCGCAGGCGGUUCGUUGUGUCGGCGGUGAAAGCCCCGGGCUCAACCUGGGAAUGGCCGUUGAAACUGGCGGGCUUGAGUAUGGCAGAGGGGGGUGGAAUUCCGCGUGUAGCAGUGAAAUUCGUAGAUAUUCGGAAGAACACCAGUGGCGAAGGCGACUAACUGGACAUGUAUUGACGCUGAGGUGCGAAAGCGUGGGAGCAAACAGG